ensembl:lncRNA
ACCAAGUUUACCUUAGUACGUUAGACUAUAUUUGCGACUAAGAUUAAAGGUAUUUUGGCAAUGUACACAUCUAUAAAAUGGCUUUCAACACCUAAAUGUGAUAUAAUCAAUACGUCGGUAAUUACAUUUCAUCUUUUUACUUUCACAGGACCUGAAAAGUGCAUUUUAAUAUGGGUUUCAAAAUAAAUUUUGUAAUGUAUUUUCUAUAAUACAUUACAAUUGUAAUGAUAGCAUUUUUGAUGGUGAAAUACACACACAGCAGUAGACGCCUACGCGGAUCCGCAUCCAAGUCGCGAAACCCGCGUGACUGUCACAUUCGUUUUGGCACCGCCCAGAGGAUCCGCUCCGCGUCCGGGCAGCGCGGUGAAUUCUACUGUCCCACAAUGGAACCGUGUGGGAUCCGUUCCGCCUCCGGGCAGCGCGGUGAAUUCUACUGUCCGACACUGGAUCCGUGUCGGAUCCGCAGAAGUGGACGCGCCUUUACUGUAAAGGUUGAACUACAACCUCUUGGUGUGCUCUUGCUACGCUGAGACAAGAGUCAUAUCAGUGGAGAUUUUCUUUCCUGGGACACGGUUGCGCUGAACUAUCUGAGCAAGCGAGGACAUUGCUUUUGUGCCAGUUGACUGGUAUGAUGACGUGAUGGUGUACUGGCCCAGCUGAACGUGUGAAACGGGCAGCUGCUAACGAGGAGAAGCAUGAGCCAAACUGGCCAAGAUAUGACGUAAAGGUCGUCAGAACUUGUGACAACUACAAAGACGCCAUCAGGCUAAUGAAUCAGAGCAGGAGGGAUAGCUGCCAGAGAAAUGAUUCAGGAAGCCAAUCCAUCGUUUUGGGGACUCUGAUGAGAGUGAAGAAGAGCCAGAAAAUUCGGCUGGUGUAUCAGUUGGAGCCUCAAGCCCAAACCAAUUACACUGGCAGACUCCACCAUCUCACUGAGUGCCAUGCAGCAGAGUCACUACUCCUCAACCUGGAGGAAACUGUCUAGUACCUGACCAUGGGGCCGGACCCCAACACCCUUCACCACCUCAACUCCCUGCACCUGUAUUUAACAUGAGGAGAGUUACUCAAGGAACGGCAGUCCCUCCUCAACUCCCUCCACCUCCCGCACCGGCCCUCAACAUGAGGCGAACAGAGGAGCCCUCUUCAAGCCUGGCCUACAGACCAACAUGGCGAGGGGGAGGAAUGACCGAUACCAUUCCCUGCUCUGUGGCUGAGGUCCACAUCCUUAGCCUGCUGGAGACCAUUAAACAACAACAAGACCAGCUUGUGGCAAAGGUGAACUACCUCAGCAGCAGGCUGAACAGCAACCCGGGGCCAGAUGUUGAGAUGCCGGACAAUAUCCAGUUUCCCCUAGGACAAUUGGAGGCAGUGGAGGCAUUUGAAAUGUUUUUAAAGGAACCGUCAAAUGGCCCAGCUCGACAGAGCGUGGUGCUGUGAGGAAAAACACUGACACGGUCAGCCACGGACGCAGAGGUCACCAAGCAUGCAAUCAGGUGGUUCAACCUGGCAGCGGAUCGGGCAACGAGGAGACGUGUCCCGCCUCAAGCCACACAAACGGAGUAAUAGGAGAAAUAAGCAAUAAACAAUAUUUUUAUUGAAUUAAUUUUCUGAUAUUUUAGCUGUGCAUUUCAUUGAAGUUUUAGCCUAAUGGAUAAAAUAUUUUAUGUCUGCACCGACCUAGGCCUAUAAAGCACUAAAUUAGGUUUUGACCACAAAAUGAAUGUAAAGCAGCUUAGCCAACGUAGGCUACUAAACAAAAACGGAAUAGAAAGAACUUGUAACUUUCCAUAACUGUAAAUGACAAUUUUAUAUUUCCAUUAAGUAGUGAUUACUUUUGUACAGUGAAUUGAUGUCUUGACUUGAA